rnacentral:rRNA from 1 species
GACGAACGCUGGCGGCGUGCCUAACACAUGCAAGUCGAACGGAAAGGCCCUGCUCUUGUGGGGUUCUCGAUUGGCGAACGGGUGAGUAACACGUGAGUAUCCUGUACCUGUCUUUGUGAUAACACUACGAAACUGGGGCUAAUACCGGAGAUGAUCUCUUGCAGCAUGUUGUGGGUUGGAGAGAUUCGGCGGUUGUGGCUGGACUCGCUGCUUAUGAGCUUGUUGGUCGGGUAGGUGCUUACAAAGGCUUUGAAGGGUAGCCGGCAUGAGAGGGUUACCGGCGACAAUGGGACUGCGGUACGGCGCAGAAUCCAACGGGAGGCAGUAGUCGAAAGUAUUGCGCAAUGGGCGGAAGCCAGAUACAGAGGCGCCGCGUGCGGGAUGCCGGGCUUCGAGUUGUAAACAGCUUUCGAAUGUGACGAGGCGGGAGUGACGGUAAUGGGUAAAGAAGCACCGGCUAACUACGUG